UACGUAGGGUGCAAGCGUUAAUCGGAAUUACUGGGCGUAAAGCGUGCGCAGGCGGUUAUGCAAGACAGUUGUGAAAUCCCCGGGCUCAACCCUGGGAACUGCAUCUGUGACUGUAUAGCUAGAGUACGGUAGAGGGGAAUGGAAUUCCGCGUGUAGCAGUGAAAUGCGUAGAUAUGCGGAGGAACACCGAUGGCGAAGGCAAUCCCCUGGACCUGUACUGACGCUCAUGCACGAAAGCGUGGGGAGCAAACAGG
rnacentral:rRNA from 1 species